rnacentral:rRNA from 1 species
UACGUAGGGGGCAAGCGUUGUCCGGAUUUAUUGGGCGUAAAGAGCGUGGAGGCGGUUUGGUAGGUCCGCUGUGAAAACUCGAGGCUCAACCUCGAGACGCCGGUGGAAACCAUCAGACUAGAGUCCGGAAGAGGGGAGUGGAAUUCCUGGUGUAGCGGUGAAAUGCGCAGAUAUCAGGAAGAACACCCGUGGCUAAGGCGGCUCUCUAGUACGGUACUGACGCUGAGACGCGAAAGCGUGGGGAGCGAACAGG